AUUGAACGCUGGCGGCAGGCCUAACACAUGCAAGUAGAACGAGUGGCGGACGGGUGAGUAAUGUCUGGGAAACUGACCGAUGGAGGGGGAUAACUACUGGAAACGGUAGCUAAUACCGCAUACCAUCGGAUGUGCCCAGAUGGGAUUAGCUAGUAGGUGGGGUAAUGGCGCACCUAGGCGACGAUCCAUAGCUGGUCUGAGAGGAUGACCAGCCACACGUGUAGUGAGACACUGUCCAGACUCCUACGGUGGGCAGCAGUGGGGAAUAUUGCACAAUGGGCGCAAGCCUGAUGCAGCCAUGCCGCGUGUAUGAAGAAGGCCUUCGGGUUGUAAAGUACUUUCAGCGGGGAGGCGUUACUCGCAGAAGAAGCACCGGCUAACUCCGUGCCAGCAGCCGCGGUAAUUC
rnacentral:rRNA from 1 species